AUGACCAAUGAUGCAGUCUGUCAUGAAGCAAAGAUUAUGGUUAAUCUAAUUCUGUAUAGCUAAGGUCUGUU
rnacentral:snoRNA from 1 species